GACCCGAAACCCGGUGAUCUAGCCAUGGGCAGGUUGAAGGUUGGGUAACACUAACUGGAGGACCGAACCGACUAAUGUUGAAAAAUUAGCGGAUGACUUGUGGCUGGGGGUGAAAGGCCAAUCAAACCGGGAGAUAGCUGGUUCUCCCCGAAAGCUAUUUAGGUAGCGCCUCGUGAAUUCAUCUCCGGGGGUAGAGCACUGUUUCGGCAAGGGGGUCAUCCCGACUUACCAACCCGAUGCAAACUGCGAAUACCGGAGAAUGUUAUCACGGGAGACACACGGCGGGUGCUAACGUCCGUCGUGAAGAGGGAAACAACCCAGACCGCCAGCUAAGGUCCCAAAGUCAUGGUUAAGUGGGAAACGAUGUGGGAAGGCCCAGACAGCCAGGAUGUUGGCUUAGAAGCAGCCAUCAUUUAAAGAAAGCGUA
rnacentral:rRNA from 1 species